rnacentral:rRNA from 1 species
GACGAACGCUGGCGGCGUGCGUAAUACAUGCAAGUCGAACGCACGAAGUUGAAGAGCUUGCUCUUUAACCAAGUGAGUGGCGGACGGGUGAGUAACACGUGGGUAACCUGCCCAUUAGAGGGGGAUAACAUUCGGAAACGGAUGCUAAUACCGCAUAGUUUCAGGRAUCGCAUGAUUCUUGAAGGAAAGGUGGCUUCGGCUACCACUAAUGGAUGGACCCGCGGCGUAUUAGCUAGUUGGUGAGGUAAUGGCUCACCAAGGCAAUGAUACGUAGCCGACCUGAGAGGGUGAUCGGCCACACUGGGACUGAGACACGGCCCAGACUCCUACGGGAGGCAGCAGUAGGGAAUCUUCCGCAAUGGACGAAAGUCUGACGGAGCAACGCCGCGUGAGUGAAGAAGGUUUUCGGAUCGUAAAACUCUGUUGUUAAAGAAGAACAAGGAUGAGAGUAACUGCUCAUCCCCUGACGGUAUUUAACCAGAAAGCCACGGCUAACUACGUGCCAGCAGCCGCGGUAAUACGUAGGUGGCAAGCGUUGUCCGGAUUUAUUGGGCGUAAAGCGAGCGCAGGCGGUUCUUUAAGUCUGAUGUGAAAGCCCCCGGCUCAACCGGGGAGGGUCAUUGGAAACUGGAGAACUUGAGUGCAGAAGAGGAGAGUGGAAUUCCACGUGUAGCGGUGAAAUGCGUAGAUAUGUGGAGGAACACCAGUGGCGAAGGCGACUCUCUGGUCUGUAACUGACGCUGAGGCUCGAAAGCGUGGGGAGCAAACAGGAU